rnacentral:tRNA from 1 species
ACGACCGGCGGGCCGACGGGCGGCUCGACGGGCUUGUCGGGCCGGUUGGCGGUGCCGCGGUCGCGUUCCAGCCAGCGGUGGUCGUG